GGGAGUUUGGUCUAGUGGUAUGAUUCUCGCUUCGGUUGCGAGAGGCCGCGAGUUCAUUCUCAGACAACUCCCC
rnacentral:tRNA from 1 species